rnacentral:rRNA from 2 species
GAUGAGCCAGAUUUGGAAGUUUAGAUUAAAACUUCAAAAUGAUUUUAACUGAAGAGUUUGAUCAUGGCUCAGAUUGAACGCUGGCGGCAGGCUUAACACAUGCAAGUCGAGCGGGCGAGGUUGCUUCGGUAACUGAGCUAGCGGCGGACGGGUGAGUA